rnacentral:rRNA from 1 species
CGUAGGGAACCUGCCCAUGCGGCCGGGACAACUUCCGGAAACGGAUGCUGAUACCGGACAAGGAAAGCGAAGGCAUCUUUGCUUUGUUAAAGGAGCUGCAAGGCUCCGCGCAUGGAUGGACCUGCGGUGCAUUAGCUGGUUGGUGAGGUAAAGGCUCACCAAGGCGACGAUGCAUAGCCGGCCUGAGAGGGCGAACGGCCACACUGGGACUGAGACACGGCCCAGACUCCUACGGAAGGCAGCAG